rnacentral:lncRNA from 1 species
GGAGAUUUGGACACACACACCACACACACACACACGGAGAACACCAUGUGAAGAUGAAGGCAGAGGCAGAGAUGGGGAUAUUAAUGCUGAGAAAAAACUAACCUUAGUGCAACACACAGAAACAGCAUCAACUAUAAAGUUCUGGACAAAGAAAAAUGUAAUUUCUCCCACACCAAAGCCUUGGUUCCACUCAGGAUUGGGCAUCAUCAUAGACUACCUCCUUGGAAGAGGAGAAGAGCUACUUAGUAACUCUCUUGAGAAAAAUCUCAGUGUCAGCUUGUUAAAGUUGCAAAACUUAAAAGUUA